rnacentral:lncRNA from 1 species
GGUAAGAACUUUUAUUUUCUUUCUUUUUUUAGAGGUGGGAAAAUUUAUAUUCCAAUAAAACCGAUCAGAUUUUGGAUUGAUCGGGUUGAGGAAAAAGUAAUCUGAAAUUAAUUCGAACUUAUAAUCUGAUCUGUACUAUGGUCAGAUCAAAUCGAAUAAAAAAUUUAAAUCAUUUCCUAAUGAAAAAUCCACUAAAUAUCCAAUAGUAACAAGUUAAGCUUCCAUUAAGUAAUGAUAUAGACGAUUCAAUAACCCCACUCUGACCUAAAACUAACAAUGCUCUAAACACUCACAACCAUCACCAAUAUAGUUAAGCAAGAAAGAUGAUACAUUAAGCGUGUAUUGGUUGGGUUUUGAGCCAAGACGAUGGUGGUCGAUCAACUUCGAAGCAUUGUUGUCAAAGUCAAGCAAGCUACAGCAACGGUUGAGGUGGCCGAUAGAGCAGACUACAGCGAGUCACGGUGGAACAGGCUGCAAUAGGUCGCCUCAACAUGUCACGGUGGCCUGACUUCACGUUGGCUGGCAGGGUGGGUGCAUGGUGAUGAGUUUGGUCGGAUUGGAUCGAUCUGUUUUGAUUCGUGCACGGUGUUGGUUUGAUGGGUUUCUUCAAUUAUUGUGUGCUAUUAUUGUGUAGCGUGUCGUGUGUGUAGUUAGUAGAUAUUUAGGUUAAAAUUUAAAAAUUUUCUUUCUAGUUUAGUAUGUAAACCCAAAUGAAAUUUCUGAUUGAUUGGGUUGGCCAAAAUUUCACCCAAUCGUGAUAGAGUAUUCAUUUAUAUUUAUCCGAAUUUAAAUUUUUCAGAUCGGGUCGAGUCGGAUUAGAUUGAGUUAUUUGCCCAUCCUUUCUUUUUUUUCUGCAUUUAUCCAUCAACCAAACAUAAUGACAAAAAGAAUCCAAAAAAACCACAUAAGGUAGAUUGAAAAAA